AUUGAACGCUGGCGGCAGGCCUAACACAUGCAAGUCGAACGAGUGGCGGACGGGUGAGUAAUGUCUGGGAAACUGCCUGAUGGAGGGGGAUAACUACUGGAAACGGUAGCUAAUACCGCAUCCCAUAAGAUGUGCCCAGGUGGGAUUUGCUAGUUGGGGGGGUAACGGCUCACCAAGGCGACGAUCCCUAGCUGGUCUGAGAGUAUGACAAGCAACACUGGAACUGAGACACGGUCCAGACUGCGAAGGGAGGCAGGAGUGGGGAAUAGUGCAGAAUGGGCGCAAGCCUGAUGCAGCCAUGGCGCGUGUAUGAAGAAGGCCUUCGGGUUGUAAAGGACUUUCAGCGGGGAGGCGUUACCCGCAGAAGAAGCACCGGCUAACUCCGUGCCAGCAGCCGCGGUAAUAC
rnacentral:rRNA from 1 species